rnacentral:rRNA from 1 species
UACGAAGGGGGCUAGCGUUGCUCGGAAUCACUGGGCGUAAAGCGCACGUAGGCGGAUUGUUAAGUCAGGGGUGAAAUCCUGGAGCUCAACUCCAGAACUGCCUUUGAUACUGGCGAUCUUGAGUCCGGGAGAGGUGAGUGGAACUGCGAGUGUAGAGGUGACAUUCGUAGAUAUUCGCAAGAACACCAGUGGCGAAGGCGGCUCACUGGCCCGGUACUGACGCUGAGGUGCGAAAGCGUGGGGAGCAAACAGG